rnacentral:rRNA from 1 species
UACGAGGGGGGCGAGCGUUGUUCGGAAUUAUUGGGCGUAAAGGGUGCGUAGGCGGUUUGGUAAGUCUUGUGUGAAAUCUACAGGCUCAACUUGUAGUCUGCACGGGAAACUGCCGGGCUUGAGUGUGGGAGAGGUGAGUGGAAUUCCUGGUGUAGCGGUGAAAUGCGUAGAUAUCAGGAGGAACACCUGUGGCGAAAGCGGCUCACUGGACCAUAACUGACGCUGAUGCACGAAAGCUAGGGGAGCAAACAGG